rnacentral:rRNA from 1 species
UACGUAGGUGACAAGCGUUGUCCGGAAUUAUUGGGCGUAAAGAGCUCGUAGGCGGUUCGUCGCGUGGCUGUGAAAUCCCGAGGCUCAACCUCGGGUCUGCAGUCGAUACGGGCGGACUGGAGUACUGCAGGGGAGACUGGAAUUCCUGGGUGUAGCGGUGAAAUGCGUAGAUAUCAGGAGGAAUACCGGUGGUGCAGACGGCUCUCUGGACCGCAACUGACGCUGAGACACGAAAGCGUGGGUAGCAAACAGG